rnacentral:tRNA from 1 species
UUUAAUGAGGUGUGUUUUGCAUUCUACAUUUUGGUUGUAGAGGUGACUAGUUGUCCGUUUUCC